rnacentral:lncRNA from 12 species
GCAAAGCGCCUCGUUAGGCACAAGAAAAUGUUCUCCUUAACCCCGGGCCAGCGGCCAGGCCAGGGCAACAGGGCCGAGGAAAAGGAGGAGAGGAUGGGCUGGAGGAGAGGAUGGGGUGGAGGAGAGGAUGGGGUGGAGGAGAGGAUGGGGUGGAGGAGAGGAUGGGGUGGAGGAGAGGAUGGGGUGGAGGAGAGGAUGGGGUGGAGGAGAGGAUGGGGUGGAGGAGAGGAUGGGGUGGAGGAGAGGAUGGGGUGGAGGAGAGGAUGGGGUGGAGGAGAGGAUGGGGUGGAGGAGAGGAUGGGGUGGAGGAGAGGAUGGGGUGGAGGAGAGGAUGGGGUGGAGGAGAGGAUGGGGUGGAGGAGAGGAUGGGGUGGAGGAGAGGAUGGGGUGGAGGAGAGGAUGGGGUGGAGGAGAGGAUGGGGUGGAGGAGAGGAUGGGGUGGAGGAGAGGAUGGGGUGGAGGAGAGGAUGGGGUGGAGGAGAGGAUGGGGUGGAGGAGAGGAUGGGAUGGAGGAGAGGAUGGGAUGGAGGAGAGGAUGGGAUGGAGGAGAGGAUGGGAUGGAGGAGAGGAUGGGAUGGAGGAGAGGAUGGGAUGGAGGAGAGGAUGGGAUGGAGGAGAGGAUGGGAUGGAGGAGAGGAUGGGAUGGAGGAGAGGAUGGGAUGGAGGAGAGGAUGGGAUGGAGGAGAGGAUGGGAUGGAGGAGAGGAUGGGAUGGAGGAGAGGAUGGGAUGGAGGAGAGGAUGGGAUGGAGGAGAGGAUGGGAUGGAGGAGAGGAUGGGAUGGAGGAGAGGAUGGGAUGGAGGAGAGGAUGGGAUGGAGGAGAGGAUGGGAUGGAGGAGAGGAUGGGAUGGAGGAGAGGAUGGGAUGGAGGAGAGGAUGGGAUGGAGGAGAGGAUGGGAUGGAGGAGAGGAUGGGAUGGAGGAGAGGAUGGGAUGGAGGAGAGGAUGGGAUGGAGGAGAGGAUGGGAUGGAGGAGAGGAUGGGAUGGAGGAGAGGAUGGGAUGGAGGAGAGGAUGGGGUGGAGGAGAGGAUGGGGUGGAGGAGAGGAUGGGGUGGAGGAGAGGAUGGGGUGGAGGAGAGGAUGGGGUGGAGGAGAGGAUGGGGUGGAGGAGAGGAUGGGGUGGAGGAGAGGAUGGGGUGGAGGAGAGGAUGGGGUGGAGGAGAGGAUGGGGUGGAGGAGAGGAUGGGGUGGAGGAGAGGAUGGGGUGGAGGAGAGGAUGGGGUGGAGGAGAGGAUGGGGUGGAGGAGAGGAUGGGAUGGAGGAGAGGAUGGGGUGGAGGAGAGGAUUUGAUGGAGGAGAGAGUGGGAUGGAGGAGAGGAUGGAAUGGAGGAGAGGAUGGAUGGAGGAGAGGAUGGGAUGGAGGAGAGGAUGGGGUGGAGGAGAGGAUGGGAUGGAGGAGCUGAGCCUGCCCCAGCAGUGCUGAUGCUCCUGGGGAUGGAUCCCUGAAUCCUCAUCCUGCUCUGAACCUGGGCAGCCUCAGCGGUUGGGGCCCCUCUCAUGAACCCUCCUCAAUUCCUGAC